rnacentral:rRNA from 1 species
UACGGGGGGGGCAAGCGUUGUUCGGAAUUACUGGGCGUAAAGGGCGCGUAGGCGGGGUGGCAAGUCGGUCGUGAAAUCCCUCGGCUCAACCGAGGAACGUCGAUCGAUACUGCUGUUCUUGAGGAUUGCAGAGGAGACUGGAAUUCCCGGUGUAGCGGUGAAAUGUGUAGAGAUCGGGAGGAACACCGGUGGCGAAGGCGGGUCUCUGGGCAAUUCCUGACGCUGAGGCGCGAAAGCGUGGGGAGCAAACAGG